rnacentral:rRNA from 1 species
UCAACCGAGAUUCCCCCAGUAGCGGCGAGCGAACGGGGAGCAGCCCAGAGUCUGAAUCAGCUUGUGUGUUAGUGGAACGGUCUGGAAAGUCCGACGGUACAGGGUGAUAGUCCCGUACACCAAAAUGCACAGGUUGUGAACUCGAAGAGUAGGGCGGGACACGUGGUAUCCUGUCUGAAUAUGGGGGGACCAUCCUCCAAGGCUAAAUACUCCUGACUGACCGAUAGUGAACCAGUACCGUGAGGGAAAGGCGAAAAGAACCCCGGCGAGGGGAGUGAAAAAGAACCUGAAACCGUGUACGUACAAGCAGUGGGAGCACCUUCGGGUGUGACUGCGUACCUUUUGUAUAAUGGGUCAGCGACUUAUAUUCUGUAGCAAGGUUAACCGUAUAGGGGAGCCGCAGGGAAACCGAGUCUUAACUGGGCGUUAAGUUGCAGGGUAUAGACCCGAAACCCGGUGAUCUAGCCAUGGGCAGGUUGAAGGUUGGGUAACACUAACUGGAGGACCGAACCGACUAAUGUUGAAAAAUUAGCGGAUGACUUGUGGCUGGGGGUGAAAGGCCAAUCAAACCGGGAGAUAGCUGGUUCUCCCCGAAAGCUAUUUAGGUAGCGCCUCGUGAACUCAUCUUCGGGGGUAGAGCACUGUUUCGGCUAGGGGGUCAUCCCGACUUACCAACCCGAUGCAAACUACGAAUACCGAAGAAUGUUAUCACGGGAGACACACGGCGGGUGCUAACGUCCGUCGUGAAGAGGGAAACAACCCAGACCGCCAGCUAAGGUCCCAAAGUCAUGGUUAAGUGGGAAACGAUGUGGGAAGGCACAGACAGCCAGGAUGUUGGCUUAGAAGCAGCCAUCAUUUAAAGAAAGCGUAAUAGCUCACUGGUCGAGUCGGCCUGCGCGGAAGAUGUAACGGGGCUAAACCAUGCACCGAAGCUGCGGCAGCGACACUAUGUGUUGUUGGGUAGGGGAGCGUUCUGUAAGCCUGCGAAGGUGUGCUGUGAGGCAUGCUGGAGGUAUCAGAAGUGCGAAUGCUGACAUAAGUAACGAUAAAGCGGGUGAAAAGCCCGCUCGCCGGAAGACCAAGGGUUCCUGUCCAACGUUAAUCGGGGCAGGGUGAGUCGACCCCUAAGGCGAGGCCGAAAGGCGUAGUCGAUGGGAAACAGGUUAAUAUUCCUGUACUUGGUGUUACUGCGAAGGGGGGACGGAGAAGGCUAUGUUAGCCGGGCGACGGUUGUCCCGGUUUAAGCAUGUAGGCUGGUUGUCCAGGCAAAUCCGGAUAAUCAAGGCUGAGGUGUGAUGACGAGGCACUACGGUGCUGAAGUAACAAAUGCCCUGCUUCCAGGAAAAGCCUCUAAGCAUCAGGUAACAUCAAAUCGUACCCCAAACCGACACAGGUGGUCAGGUAGAGAAUACCAAGGCGCUUGAGAGAACUCGGGUGAAGGAACUAGGCAAAAUGGUGCCGUAACUUCGGGAGAAGG